UGGGGAAUUUUGGACAAUGGGCGAAAGCCUGAUCCAGCAAUGCCGCGUGUGUGAAGAAGGCCUUCGGGUUGUAAAGCACUUUUGUCCGGAAAGAAAUCCUUGGCUCUAAUACAGUCGGGGGAUGACGGUACCGGAAGAAUAAGCACCGGCUAACUACGUGCCAGCAGCCGCGGUAAUACGUAGGGUGCAAGCGUUAAUCGGAAUUACUGGGCGUAAAGCGUGCGCAGGCGGUUUGCUAAGACCGAUGUGAAAUCCCCGGGCUCAACCUGGGAACUGCAUUGGUGACUGGCAGGCUAGAGUAUGGCAGAGGGGGGUAGAAUUCCACGUGUAGCAGUGAAAUGCGUAGAGAUGUGGAGGAAUACCGAUGGCGAAGGCAGCCCCCCUGGGCCAAUACUGACGCUCAUGCACGAAAGCGUGGGGAGCAAAACAGGAUUAGAUACCCCUGGUAGUCCACGCCCUAAAACGAUGUCAACUAGUUGUUGGGGAUUCAUUUCCUUAGUAACGUAGCUAACGCGUGAAGUUGACCGCCUGGGGGAGUACGGUCGCAAGAUUAAAACUCAAAUGAAUUGACGGGGUCAUAGCUG
rnacentral:rRNA from 1 species